AAUCAACGCUGGCGGCGUGCCUCAGACAUGCAAGUCGAACGCGAAAGUCCCCUUCGGGGGACAAGUAGAGUGGCGCACGGGUGAGUAACACGUAGGUAAUCUACCUUCGGGUGGGGAAUAACGCAGGGAAACUUGCGCUAAUACCGCAUAAUGCAGCGGCACCACAUGGUGACAGUUGUUAAAGCGGGGGAUUUUCGGACCUCGCGCCUGGAGAGGAGCCUGCGGCAGAUUAGCUAGUUGGUAAGGUAACGGCUUACCAAGGCGACGAUCUGUAGCCGGCCUGAGAGGGCGGUCGGCCACACUGACACUGACAUACGGGUCAGACUCCUACGGGAGGCAGCAGUCGGGAAUUUUGGGCAAUGGGCGAAAGCCUGACCCAGCAACGCCGCGUGAAGGAUGAAAUCCCUCGGGAUGUAAACUUCGCAAGAAUAGGAAGAAUGAGCGAGCGCUAACACCGUUCGUUAUGACGGUACUAUUUGUAAGCUCCGGCUAACUCCGUGCCAGCACG
rnacentral:rRNA from 1 species